CCUACGGGAGGCAGCAGUGGGGAAUUUUGGACAAUGGGCGAAAGCCUGAUCCAGCCAUGCCGCGUGCAGGAUGAAGGCCUUCGGGUUGUAAACUGCUUUUGUACGGAACGAAAAGGUCUUUUCUAAUAAAGAAGGCUCAUGACGGUACCGUAAGAAUAAGCACCGGCUAACUACGUGCCAGCAGCCGCGGUAAUACGUAGGGUGCGAGCGUUAAUCGGAAUUACUGGGCGUAAAGCGUGCGCAGGCGGUUAUAUAAGACAGUUGUGAAAUCCCCGGGCUCAACCUGGGAACUGCAUCUGUGACUGUAUAGCUAGGGUACGGUAGAGGGGGAUGGAAUUCCGCGUGUAGCAGUGAAAUGCGUAGAUAUGCGGAGGAACACCGAUGGCGAAGGCAAUCCCCUGGACCUGUACUGACGCUCAUGCACGAAAGCGUGGGGAGCAAACAGGAUUAGAUACCCUGGUAGUCCACGCCCUAAACGAUGUCAACUGGUUGUUGGGUCUUCACUGACUCAGUAACGAAGCUAACGCGUGAAGUUGACCGCCUGGGGAGUACGGCCGCAAGGUUGAAACUUAAAGGAAUUGACGGCNGAGAGNGCGAGACGACGACGAGGAGAGG
rnacentral:rRNA from 1 species